rnacentral:rRNA from 1 species
CCUACGGGUGGCAGCAGUAGGGAAUAUUGCUCAAUGGGGGAAACCCUGAAGCAGCAACGCCGCGUGGAUGAUGAAGGUUUUCGGAUUGUAAACCCCUUUUGUUAGGGAAGAUAAUGACGGUAUCUAACGAAUAAGCACCGGCUAACUCCGUGCCAGCAGCCGCGGUAAUACGGAGGGUGCAAGCGUUACUCGGAAUCACUGGGCGUAAAGCGCGCGUAGGCGGGAUAGCAAGUCAGAUGUGAAAUCCUAUGGCUUAACCAUAGAACUGCUGUUGAAACUGUGAUUCUAGAGUAUGGGAGAGGGAGGCGGAAUUCGUGGUGUAGGGGUGAAAUGCGUAGAUAUCAAGAGGAAUACUCAUUGCGAAGGCGGCCUGCUGGACCAUAACUGACGUUGAUGCGCGAAAGCGUGGGGAGCAAACAGGAUUAGAUACCCCAGUAGUC